UACAGGGGGGGCAAGCGUUGUUCGGAAUUACUGGGCGUAAAGGGUCUGUAGGUGGCCAACUAAGUCGGACGUGAAAUCCCUCAGCUUAACUGGGGAACUGCGUCUGAUACUGGAUGGCUUGAGUGUGGGAGAGGAAUGCGGAAUUCCAGGUGUAGCGGUGAAAUGCGUAGAUAUCUGGAGGAACACCGGUGGCGAAGGCGGCAUUCUGGACCUAACUGACACUGAGAGACGAAAGCCAGGGG
rnacentral:rRNA from 1 species